rnacentral:rRNA from 1 species
UAACCUACCCAUCAGAGGGGGAUAACACUUGGAAACAGGUGCUAAUACCGCAUAACAGUUUAUGCCGCAUGGCAUAAGAGUGAAAGGCGCUUUCGGGUGUCGCUGAUGGAUGGACCCGCGGUGCAUUAGCUAGUUGGUGAGGUAACGGCUCACCAAGGCCACGAUCCCUAGCUGGUCUGAGAGGAUGACCAGCCACACUGGAACUGAGACACGGUCCAG